rnacentral:lncRNA from 1 species
GCUUUUUGCUUCAGGACCUCCUGGCGGGUGCGGGUGGGGAGUGAGGAUGGGGAGCUCGACUCGCAGUUCCCACUUCGUGCUUCUCCUCGCCUAAACGGUUCUUACCUACACUUCUCGUAGGGGACGAGAGGCAGGACUUUCCCUUUUGGUCACCUCUAAAUGACUCACUGCCACAUAAUAAUGAGACAAAAAGACCCUCAUACCAGUAAAACGGUUAUUCCACGGCUGAUGGACUUAGACGGUUCUUCAUUUCUUCCUGUGCUUUCAGGCCGCUGUGUAUUUGCAGAGCCUGCACCAGCAGCCUAGAGCGUUCUUAGGAACUUGGUGAUAUGUUGACGGGUCGUGUAAAGAACUUGGACUCUGGGGCCAUACUGACCAGAAUGCACCUGAGGGCGUUUUUAGAGGCAGUACCCUGGAGAGAAUUCAGGCCCUGGAGUCCAGCGGACCUAGACUGGAAUCUUGGCUGAGUCACUCCCUGGCUGUCCACUCAACCUCUCUGAGCCUCAGUUUUCUGAUCUGCAUUUGUCUUGUAUUUCAUGGCAUUAUUGGAAUUAAAAUUAACAUACAAUUCUUGACAGAUUGGAAGAGGAUGUGAAGGGAGAUCUUGACAUUAUCAGGUCCGUAUGAUAUGGCGCCUGGCAUAGAGCAAAUGUUUAAUAAAUGGUAGCUGUUAUUACCAGCUGAGAAACAAUAGGCAAUAUACUUAGCCUCUCUGAGCCUUAGUUUUAGAACCUGAAAUGAAAUUCAGAGCGCCCAGCACAUAGGUUUUCUGUAACUAUAGGUUCAGUCGUUGUCCAGAAACAUUUCUAGAGUCCGUCCGGAGUUGGAUUGAUGCCAGCUCUUAAAAACUAUGAAGGCAGGAUCAGUGGCCACAUUUAAACGGUUUCCCUGGGUGAGGAAACACACUCUCCACUCCCUAAUGUUAACACGUAGCGAGAGCCAGUAUUGAUAGGAGACCAUUAUGGUGUAGCCCAAACUCUAACGCCAAGGGGUUCAGUGUUUUCUGCUUCUAAUACUGGUCACAGAAAACUUGUGAGUCCGGUAAGCAAAAUCCUACAAAGGGAAAAGACUGCAAGUUAGAAUAAGACACCUCUUAAAAAUCUCUCUAGCUUUACCCUGAGAGAAAGGAGGAACUACUGUCCCUCAAAAAACUGUUUGCCUUGAUUUUUUACAAAGGAUUUUUAACUUCUUUUUUUUCAAUCUACGGCUGAUACAGUACUCUUUGGCAAGUCAUUUGGCUUCUUUCCGAUGUCUUCUGAAGUAGCUUUACUGCCCUCUGACCUACAGGGAAUAACUGAAAUUUACAUGUUUAAUACAGGUACUGUGGUAGACAGAAUAAUGUCUUCCCCGCUUGCCCAAAACUGUCCAAGUCCUAGUCCCUGGAACCUGUGAAUAUGUUGCUUUUUUA